rnacentral:rRNA from 1 species
ACGGGUGAGUAACACGUGGGUAACCUGCCCUUAAGUGGGGGAUAACAUUUGGAAACAGAUGCUAAUACCGCAUAAAUCCAAGAACCGCAUGGUUCUUGGCUGAAAGAUGGCGUAAGCUAUCGCUUUUGGAUGGACCCGCGGCGUAUUAGCUAGUUGGUGAGGUAACGGCUCACCAAGGCAAUGAUACGUAGCCGAACUGAGAGGUUGAUCGGCCACAUUGGGACUG